rnacentral:ncRNA from 2 species
GUUCCAUCCAGAGCGGCCGAGAGACCCGGCUUGAUGACGCCGCAGCAACCCCCUCGUGGUGGGUGCUUCUGCCGGGACCGAUGGAGA